rnacentral:rRNA from 1 species
UACGUAGGGUGCGAGCGUUAAUCGGAAUUACUGGGCGUAAAGCGUGCGCAGGCGGAUUGUUAAGCAAGACGUGAAAUCCCCGGGCUUAACCUGGGAAUGGCGUUUUGAACUGGCAGUCUAGAGUGCGUCAGAGGGGGGUGGAAUUCCACGUGUAGCAGUGAAAUGCGUAGAUAUGUGGAGGAACACCAAUGGCGAAGGCAGCCCCCUGGGAUGACACUGACGCUCAUGUACGAAAGCGUGGGUAGCAAACAGGAUUAGAUACCCUGGUAGUCCACGCCCUAAACGAUGUCAACUGGUUGUUGGGAGAGUGAAAUCUCUUAGUAACGAAGCUAACGCGUGAAGUUGACCGCCUGGGGAGUACGGUCGCAAGAUUA